AGCGUACACGGUGGAUGCCCUGGCAGUCAGAGGCGAUGAAGGACGUGCUAAUCUGCGAUAAGCGUCGGUAAGGUGAUAUGAACCGUUAUAACCGGCGAUUUCCGAAUGGGGAAACCCAGUGUGUUUCGACACACUAUCAUUAACUGAAUCCAUAGGUUAAUGAGGCGAACCGGGGGAACUGAAACAUCUAAGUACCCCGAGGAAAAGAAAUCAACCGAGAUUCCCCCAGUAGCGGCGAGCGAACGGGGAGCAGCCCAGAGCCUGAAUCAGUGUGUGUGUUAGUGGAAGCGUCUGGAAAGGCGCGCGAUACAGGGUGACAGCCCCGUACACAAAAAUGCACAUGCUGUGAGCUCGAUGAGUAGGGCGGGACACGUGGUAUCCUGUCUGAAUAUGGGGGGACCAUCCUCCAAGGCUAAAUACUCCUGACUGACCGAUAGUGAACCAGUACCGUGAGGGAAAGGCGAAAAGAACCCCGGCGAGGGGAGUGAAAAAGAACCUGAAACCGUGUACGUACAAGCAGUGGGAGCACGCUUCGGCGUGUGACUGCGUACCUUUUGUAUAAUGGGUCAGCGACUUAUAUUCUGUAGCAAGGUUAACCGAAUAGGGGAGCCGAAGGGAAACCGAGUCUUAACUGGGCGUUAAGUUGCAGGGUAUAGACCCGAAACCCGGUGAUCUAGCCAUGGGCAGGUUGAAGGUUGGGUAACACUAACUGGAGGACCGAACCGACUAAUGUUGAAAAAUUAGCGGAUGACUUGUGGCUGGGGGUGAAAGGCCAAUCAAACCGGGAGAUAGCUGGUUCUCCCCGAAAGCUAUUUAGGUAGCGCCUCGUGAAUUCAUCUCCGGGGGUAGAGCACUGUUUCGGCAAGGGGGUCAUCCCGACUUACCAACCCGAUGCAAACUGCGAAUACCGGAGAAUGUUAUCACGGGAGACACACGGCGGGUGCUAACGUCCGUCGUGAAGAGGGAAACAACCCAGACCGCCAGCUAAGGUCCCAAAGUCAUGGUUAAGUGGGAAACGAUGUGGGAAGGCCCAGACAGCCAGGAUGUUGGCUUAGAAGCAGCCAUCAUUUAAAGAAAGCGUAAUAGCUCACUGGUCGAGUCGGCCUGCGCGGAAGAUGUAACGGGGCUAAACCAUGCACCGAAGCUGCGGCAGCGACGCUGAUGCGUUGUUGGGUAGGGGAGCGUUCUGUAAGCCUGCGAAGGUGUGCUGUGAGGCAUGCUGGAGGUAUCAGAAGUGCGAAUGCUGACAUAAGUAACGAUAAAGCGGGUGAAAAGCCCGCUCGCCGGAAGACCAAGGGUUCCUGUCCAACGUUAAUCGGGGCAGGGUGAGUCGACCCCUAAGGCGAGGCCGAAAGGCGUAGUCGAUGGGAAACAGGUUAAUAUUCCUGUACUUGGUGUUACUGCGAAGGGGGGACGGAGAAGGCUAUGUUGGCCGGGCGACGGUUGUCCCGGUUUAAGCGUGUAGGCUGGUUUUCCAGGCAAAUCCGGAAAAUCAAGGCUGAGGCGUGAUGACGAGGCACUACGGUGCUGAAGCAACAAAUGCCCUGCUUCCAGGAAAAGCCUCUAAGCAUCAGGUAACAUCAAAUCGUACCCCAAACCGACACAGGUGGUCAGGUAGAGAAUACCAAGGCGCUUGAGAGAACUCGGGUGAAGGAACUAGGCAAAAUGGUGCCGUAACUUCGGGAGAAGGCACGCUGAUAUGUAGGUGAGGUCCCUCGCGGAUGGAGCUGAAAUCAGUCGAAGAUACCAGCUGGCUGCAACUGUUUAUUAAAAACACAGCACUGUGCAAACACGAAAGUGGACGUAUACGGUGUGACGCCUGCCCGGUGCCGGAAGGUUAAUUGAUGGGGUCAGCGCAAGCGAAGCUCUUGAUCGAAGCCCCGGUAAACGGCGGCCGUAACUAUAACGGUCCUAAGGUAGCGAAAUUCCUUGUCGGGUAAGUUCCGACCUGCACGAAUGGCGUAAUGAUGGCCAGGCUGUCUCCACCCGAGACUCAGUGAAAUUGAACUCGCUGUGAAGAUGCAGUGUACCCGCGGCAAGACGGAAAGACCCCGUGAACCUUUACUAUAGCUUGACACUGAACAUUGAGCCUUGAUGUGUAGGAUAGGUGGGAGGCUUGGAAGUGUGGACGCCAGUCUGCAUGGAGCCGACCUUGAAAUACCACCCUUUAAUGUUUGAUGUUCUAACGUUGACCCGUAAUCCGGGUUGCGGACAGUGUCUGGUGGGUAGUUUGACUGGGGCGGUCUCCUCCUAAAGAGUAACGGAGGAGCACGAAGGUUGGCUAAUCCUGGUCGGACAUCAGGAGGUUAGUGCAAUGGCAUAAGCCAGCUUGACUGCGAGCGUGACGGCGCGAGCAGGUGCGAAAGCAGGUCAUAGUGAUCCGGUGGUUCUGAAUGGAAGGGCCAUCGCUCAACGGAUAAAAGGUACUCCGGGGAUAACAGGCUGAUACCGCCCAAGAGUUCAUAUCGACGGCGGUGUUUGGCACCUCGAUGUCGGCUCAUCACAUCCUGGGGCUGAAGUAGGUCCCAAGGGUAUGGCUGUUCGCCAUUUAAAGUGGUACGCGAGCUGGGUUUAGAACGUCGUGAGACAGUUCGGUCCCUAUCUGCCGUGGGCGCUGGAGAACUGAGGGGGGCUGCUCCUAGUACGAGAGGACCGGAGUGGACGCAUCACUGGUGUUCGGGUUGUCAUGCCAAUGGCACUGCCCGGUAGCUAAAUGCGGAAGAGAUAAGUGCUGAAAGCAUCUAAGCACGAAACUUGCCCCGAGAUGAGUUCUCCCUGACUCCUUGA
rnacentral:rRNA from 1 species